AUUGAACGCUGGCGGCAGGCCUAACACAUGCAAGUCGAGCGGAUGACGGGAGCUUGCUCCUUGAUUCAGCGGCGGACGGGUGAGUAAUGCCUAGGAAUCUGCCUGAUAGUGGGGGACAACGUUUCGAAAGGAACGCUAAUACCGCAUACGUCCUACGAGAGAAAGCAGGGGACCUUCGGGCCUUGCGCUAUCAGAUGAGCCUAGGUCGGAUUAGCUAGUUGGUGAGGUAAUGGCUCACCAAGGCGACGAUCCGUAACUGGUCUGAGAGGAUGAUCAGUCACACUGGAACUGAGACACGGUCCAGACUCCUACGGGAGGCAGCAGUGGGGAAUAUUGGACAAUGGGCGAAAGCCUGAUCCAGCCAUGCCGCGUGUGUGAAGAAGGUCUUCGGAUUGUAAAGCACUUUAAGUUGGGAGGAAGGGCAGUAAGUUAAUACCUUGCUGUUUUGACGUUACCGACAGAAUAAGCACCGGCUAACUCUGUGCCAGCCGCCGCAGUAAAAC
rnacentral:rRNA from 1 species